GGGGAAUAUUGCACAAUGGGCGAAAGCCUGAUGCAGCAACGCCGCGUGAGUGAUGAAGGUCUUCGGAUUGUAAAGCUCUGUCUUUGGGGACGAUAAUGACGGUACCCAAGGAGGAAGCCACGGCUAACUACGUGCCAGCAGCCGCGGUAAUACGUAGGUGGCGAGCGUUGUCCGGAUUUACUGGGCGUAAAGGAUGCGUAGGCGGAUGUUUAAGUGAGAUGUGAAAUUCCCGGGCUUAACGUGGGGGCUGCAUUUCAAACUGGAUAUCUAGAGUGCAGGAGAGGAGAAUGGAAUUCCUAGUGUAGCGGUGAAAUGCGUAGAGAUUAGGAAGAACACCAGUGGCGAAGGCGAUUCUCUGGACGGUAACUGACGCUGAGGCAUGAAAGCGUGGGUAGCAAAC
rnacentral:rRNA from 1 species